AACGAACGCUGGCGGCGCGUAUUAAGCAUGCAAGUCGAACGGGAACCGACCCCGCAAGGGGUUGGGGAGAGUGGCGAACGGGUGAGUAACACGUAGGUGAUCUGUCCCCGGGUGGGGUAUAGCCCAUGGAAACAUGGGGUAAUACCGCAUGAGGUCCUGGAGCUGAGGCUUCUGGAUGAAAGGCGCAAUUGUGUUGCCUGGGGAUGAGCCUGCGGCUCAUUAGCUAGUUGGCGGGGUAAAGGCCCACCAAGGCGACGAUGGGUAGCCGGCCUGGGAGGGUGUACGGCCACACUGGGACUGAGACACGGCCCAGACUCCUACGGGAGGCAGCAGCUAAGAAUCUUCCGCAAUGGGGGCAACCCUGACGGAGCGACGCCGCGUGGACGAAGAAGGCCGCAAGGUUGUAAAGUCCUUUUGCAGACGAAGAAUAAGGCUCGGAGUGGAAAGCCGGGCUGAUGACGUUAGUCUGCGAAUAAGCCCCGGCCAAUUACGUGCCAGCCGCCGCAGUAACAC
rnacentral:rRNA from 1 species